rnacentral:tRNA from 1 species
AAAAAGGUGGCUGAGCAGCAAAGCGGUGGAUUGUAAAUCCACUUAUAAAGGUUAAACUCCUUUCCUUUUUA